GGUCUCAUUGGCUGGGGGCGCGGGGCGGGGCUCCGGGGGGCGCGCGCAGAGGUGGCUGCCAUGGAGGGAGCCGGAGCAGGAGCUGGUUUCCGGAAGGUAGAGCUGGCGGCAGGCAGCCAGAAGGACCAGCAGGGUUUCACCCACCCGCUGCUCUGCUUGUCACCUGUUGGACUGCUCUGGGAGCUGGUGAGCAGGCUGCUGCACGUGCACUUUAAGGAUGACAAGACCAAAGGUGCGGGUGGGGUGCAGUUAGUGGGGACGCACUGCAGCUCAUGGCGGAGCUACUGAAGAUCUUCGUUGUGGGUGAGCCCAGGGCCCAGGCUCCCUCCCAGGCACAGUGUUGAGGAUUCCUUUGUUUUUCCCACGGGAAAACCAAGACACGUUUUCCCGUUCCCCACAAGGGCCUGAACUUGGUCUCCUGAUCCUGUUGGUCAGGUGCUAGAGCCUGGUUCUGGGGGCUGCCCGUGGAUGUGGGUGGGGACACUGGCCCAGGCUGAGGCCCUCGGUGGGCCCAGGUUUGAGAUCUCCCAGCAUCCCCCACUUCUUGAGUUUCUCACUGCAGAAGCAGCAGUCCGUGGGGUGCGGCAGGCCCAGGCAGAAGAUGCCAUUCUCGUGGAUGUGGACCAGCUGGAGAAGGUGCUCCCGCAGCUGCUCCUGGACUUCUAGGGAUCUCAGCUGUGGCUGAGGCCACCCCAGGGAAGCCCCUGGUCCACAGAAGCAGGUCUUGUGUUUCUAGUGGCUUCUGGUUGCAGACGAAGAAGGACCUGAGGGAUUUGGAGCUGAUUCAAACAAGCUCCCAAGAUUCUCCAGCCUUUGCAGAGGGACAGGACUGCAGUGCACUGCCACCCUUGGAGUGCCCACUGGGGAAAGGCCCAUGGGGAGUCCCUGCCUGUCCCCUGGGGUCCUACAGGCAAGUGCUGGGAAAGGCCCAGCCAGCAGCCAGCAGGUAGACUGUUUACAAACAGCAGCCGGCAGCGCCGCCUCCUGGCCACAUUCCUGCCACUGACAUCAAAGCUGAUGUGACCCUCCCAGCCAUCCGGUAUUCCCCUUGGAAAAUGGUUCCCCAGGCUAUAAAUUUGUUCUCACAAAGCAACAUCAAUAAAUCAAAACUGUCUCUCCCA